GGUUAAGAAAUUAAGGGCGCACGGAGAAUGCCUUGGUAGUAAGAGCCGAUGAAGGACGUGAUAAGCUGCGAUAAGCUAAGACAAGCUGCAAUUGAGCGUAAUAGUCUUAGAUUUCCGAAUGGGUAAACCUACUAGUUUGAAGAACUAGUGUGGAAACGGGAACCGGAUGAACUGAAACAUCUAAGUAAUCCGAGGAAGAGAAAGUAAAAACGAUUCCCUAAGUAGCGGCGAGCGAACGGGGAAGAGCCCAAACCGAACAAGUGUGAUAGCAUGCAGGCGUUGCUUGUUGGGGGUAGUGGGAUACAGAGUAGCAGAUCUGCAAAGUCUGCGCUUGACUAACAAAGGUACUAGAAUGAACUGGAAAGUUCAACCGUAGAAGGUGAUAGUCCUGUAUAGGGAACUUAUGUUAGCAAGUCACUGUAAUCCCAAGUAGCACGGGACACGAGAAACCCUGUGUGAAUCAGCGAGGACCAUAUCUCGUAAGGCUAAAUACUCUUACUAACCGAUAGUGAAUAGUACCGUGAGGGAAAGGUGAAAAGAACCCCGGGAGGGGAGUGAAAUAGAACCUGAAACCGUGUGCUUACAAGCGGUCAGAGCAGAGCCUUCGGGCGUGUGAUGGCGUGCCUUUUGGAGAAUGAUCCUGCGAGUUACGAUCAAUGGCGAGGUUAAGUAUAACGGAGCCGAAGGGAAACCGAGUCUGAAUAGGGCGAAUUAGUCGUUGGUUGUAGACGCGAAACCUGGUGAUCUAUGCCUGUCCAAGAUGAAGCUGUGGUAAGACACAGUGGAGGUCUGAACCCACCGUCGUUGAAAAGCCGGGGGAUGAGGUAGGUAUAGGGGUGAAAAGCCAAUCGAACCAGGAGAUAGCUCGUUCUCUCCGAAAUGCAUUUAGGUGCAGCCUUGAUUGUUUAAAUAUGGGGGUAGAGCACUGAAUGGUCUAGCGGGCAUAUUGCUUAGCGAAAUCAAUCAAACUCCGAAUACCAUAUUUCAAGAGAUCAGGAGUGAGACUAUGGGUACUAAGAUCCAUGGUCAAAAGGGAAACAGCCCAGACCACCAACUAAGGUCCCAAAUUAUAUCUAAGUGGGAAAGGAGGUGGAGAUUCUGAAACAACCAGGAUGUUGGCUUAGAAGCAGCCAUACAUUUAAAGAGUGCGUAAUAGCUCACUGGUCGAGAGUCUCUGCGCCGACAAUGUAACGGGGCUAAGAUAUAAACCGAAGUUGUGGAGUAUACACUAUGUGUAGACUGGUAGGAGAGCGUUCCGUAGGCCGUUGAAGGAUAAGGGGUAACCCAAUCUGGAGGUAUCGGAAGUGAGAAUGCAGGAAUGAGUAGCGAGAGAAAGAGGGUGAGAAUCCCUCUCGCCGGAAAACCAAGGUUUCCAGAGUAAAGCUUGUCUUCUCUGGGUAAGCCGGGACCUAAGCCGAGGCUAGAUUGCGUAGGCGAAUGGAAAGCAGUUUAAUAUUACUGCGCCACUGUAAUUUGUUUGAGAGAUGGAGGGACGCAGAAGGGUAUGUGCGCAGACUGUUGGAUAUGUCUGUGUAAGCAUGUAGGAUGGAACCGCAGGAAAAUCCACGGUUUUAGAUCUGAGGUGUGAUGCGGAGUGUUUGUAAUGAACACGAAGGUACAAAUCCCACGCUGCCGAGAAAAGCUUCUAUUGAGAAUUAUAGUGCCCGUACCGUAAACCGACACAGGUGGUUAGGAUGAGAAAUCUAAGGCGUACAGGCUAACUCUCGCUAAGGAACUCUGCAAAAUGGCCCCGUAACUUCGGGAGAAGGGGUGCCAUUAAAGGUGAUAAAUACACGCGAUUUUGAGCUUUUGAUGGCCGCAGUGAAGAGAUUCGAGCAACUGUUUAGCAAAAACACAGGUCUAUGCUAAGCUGAAAGGCGAUGUAUAUGGGCUGACACCUGCCCAGUGCCGGAAGGUUAAGAGGAGGGUUUAGCGACUCAAAUUGAAGCCCCGGUGAACGGCGGCCGUAACUAUAACGGUCCUAAGGUAGCGAAAUUCCUUGUCGGGUAAGUUCCGACCUGCACGAAUGGUGUAAUGACUCGAAUGCUGUCUUGGCGGGAGGCCUGGUGAAAUUGUACUACCGGUGAAGAUACCGGUUACCUACAGUAGGACGGAAAGACCCCGUGGAGCUUUACUAUAGCUUGGUAUUGGGUUGAGAUGUUAUGUGUAUAGGAUAGUUGGGAGACUGUGAUUAUAUGGCGCUAGCUGUAUAUGAGUCGCUGGUGGAAUACCAACCAUAUAACAUUUUGAUUCUAAUCUGUGAUGUGUAAUCAUGGAGACAGUGCUAGGUGGGUAGUUUGACUGGGGCGGUCGCCUCCGAAAGAGUAACGGAGGCGUUCAAAGGUUCCCUCAGGUUGGAUGGAAAUCAACCGAAGAGUGCAAUGGCAUAAGGGAGCUUGACUGUGAGAUAGACACAUCGAGCAGGUGCGAAAGCAGGACAUAGUGAUCCGGUGGUUCCGAAUGGAAGGGCCAUCGCUCAACGGAUAAAAGCUACCCCGGGGAUAACAGGCUGAUUUUGCCCGAGAGUCCAUAUCGACGGCAAAGUUUGGCACCUCGAUGUCGGCUCAUCGCAUCCUGGGGCUGGAGAAGGUCCCAAGGGUUGGGCUGUUCGCCCAUUAAAGCGGUACGUGAGCUGGGUUCAGAACGUCGUGAGACAGUUCGGUCCCUAUCCACUGUAGGCGUAAGAAUAUUGAUGAGAUCUGUCCUUAGUACGAGAGGACCGGGAUGGACAAACCUCUAAUGUACCAGUUGUCAUGCCAAUGGCAUAGCUGGGUAGUCACGUUUGGAAUGGAUAACCGCUGAAAGCAUCUAAGCGGGAAGCCAACUCAGAGAUAAGUAUUCUAUCAUUGAUAAGUCACCUUCGAGACUAGGAGGUUGAUAGGUUGGGGGUGUAAGGGCUGUGAAGUCUUUAGCUGACCAAUACUAAUAUGACGAACACUUUACCUA
rnacentral:rRNA from 1 species